AGAGGAAACAAUGCCAACUUAUAUAAAAAAACUUGUUUCCGCGGCAGGCUUUGCGAGGUACAAUUCUUUGAAAAGAAUAGACCACAGCAUGAUAUCGGCUUUGGAAACGUUUGCUCGCGAGGAAAUGUCCAAAUUUUUCGAAGCAUCAUCCGAAACACAUCACAUUUAUUACAAACAUCCUGCUCAGUUCAAAAUCGUCCCAGGACACGUAGAACUUUUAAAAGAAGCAGCUGCAAAGCUUCCUGGCAACAGCAAAGCAUUCUUGAAGGUAUACCGUAAAUACUAUCUGCGACUUGAAUCCCCACCCGAGUUCACGAUUAAAAACAGAAAUAUCAACAACAGCUCCCAAAGUGGUUCAAAUCAACUAUCAGAAAAAAAUCUAAAUCAAAAUGUUGACAAACCGUUGAAUAAAUCCAAUGAUGUUGCAGUAAUUAAAGAGAAAAUAUUGCAUUGGUCGACAGCCAAGCAGAGACAAUUGAAAGGUGAUCUGGAAGUAUGCAUAAUUGGUACCUAUCAAGCCAAAGUGAAAUGUUGUUUCUGCUUGAAGUUCGUCAGCCUCAGCACUCGUAGCAACAAAAAUGGAUCAAAGGGAUGGAUUAUUUCAAAUUUUACUCAGCACAUAACUGAACACUUUACUCAACGAUCAAAAACAACAAUUAACGAUUUUUUCCCAAGAAGUGUAGUCCACGUGAGAAUACAGAAUCCCUGGACCAAAACGUGUCAGGUCAAAACCGAUAUACGAACGUUACCGAUUUAACCAAGGAGAGUGGUAUUCAACAUUUCGAAAAAUCAGAAGCUCCUCGCGAGUCCACAAAAUAUAACGAAGUCCAAUCUACUAUAGAUUACUCGGAUAUUAUUAUUUUUGAACCGCAAACCGACGAAGAAGCCGCAUUAGAUACGUCAGAUCUGCUGAAUGAUUUAGCUUAGUAUCCUUAACUAAAAGCUUAGUAUCCUCAACUAAAAACGAUCAUCCUUAACUGUUCAUUGCUGCCACAUUAGUAGCUCGAUUGGUAGUACACUUGGCAUUAUUCUCCAGCAGAAACAAGAGAAAUCAUCACUGUUUGGUCUAACGUCCUCACCUGACCAGGAAUUAGUUUACCACUGUGCGCCCAUACAACAUGAAUACCUUUCAGACAACUUCAUAUGGUUAGUGGGAAAAAUCUCUCCACGCAGCUCUCUUAAAUAUACCGUCUACAAUAAGGAAGACGUCUACUGCGUCGUAGUGAGUACGGAGGAAUACUGCAAGUCGAGGACAAAGAGUUUACUGAGGAGAACAAAUCUGAACGGUUCCUGCCACACAAUCCUGUGGAAGCACUAGGCAUGUCAUAGCGUAAAUUUUCUUAUCAGCUUAUUCUCACACAAUUUAGAUAAUAAGU